AGAAUCAGUAAUUCGCUAUGCAGUGAAUCAGAUGAUAAAGAAGAAGAUAUCGAGAAGACAUUGAGUGUGAUAAUUGACAAAUGCAAAGACAUAUGUGCAGAUAACAAAAAGAAAACAAUUGGGAAGAAAUCUAUUUCUUUCCUUCUGAAGAAGAUAUUUGUUUGCAGAAGUGGAUUUGCUCCAACGCCUAGCCUUAGAGAUACCCUUCAAGAGUCAAGAAUGGAGAAGCUUUUGAGGACAAUGCUUCACA
rnacentral:sRNA from 1 species